rnacentral:lncRNA from 1 species
AGGUUUGGACAGCCAGGAGGGCAGGAAAAGGGAGGUCCAGGCAGCAAAACAGCAAAAGCAAAAGGAGGCAGGCAGCAAAGAGCAGGAGGCGGAAGCUCGAAUUUGAGAAUGCCUAGAAAGAGAGAGGGGCCACUCUUAGCCUGCAGCGGCCAGUGAGCCCGAGGAGAUGGCCUUGAACAGCCUGGUCUAACCUCCUACCUUCUGCUAAUGGAGAGAACUUUAAAGCAAAACCUUCAAGUUCUCAGCCUCCUUUAUGACCAGACACGGCCAUGUAACCCAGCGCUGGCCAACAAGUGAUGGAUGGGACCCCCUGGGGAGAGCUUCCUUCUCCUAAUAAAAAGGCUAAGCCUACUGAGGAGACAGCGUGUGACUUUCAGCCUUUUGCUCUACGCCUCUUUCUGCCUAGAAUAUGGAUGUGAUGUCUGGACGCUCAGCAGCCAUUCUGUGAAAUGAGGAGACACAAACACGGAGAGCAACAGAGCAGGAAGCCAAAAGGAACCUGGCCAGGAUGACCCCCCGAGGACCCUGCCAGCCCUGGGCUGUCUGGUCCCGAGCUUCUGUGCUGUACUGAGUGUCAACAGCGGCUUGUGGAGUCCAGAGAAGCCCCAACCCGUUUUGGGAGCAGGUACGAUUUUGGGGGCAGGGAGUGCCUAAAGGCAGCUCCCCCCAGUAUCUGCCACCUCCUUCUCCUGGGACCUGGGUGUGGCUCAUGGCACAUCCUCAGGGACUGGCCUCCCUGGUGGUGGCAUCAAUAGGGUCUUAUAGGAUAUUGACUAUGGCUGCCUCCGCUGUACGGGGAAGAUGACAAUGACAAUGUGAGCGAUGGCAGCACUGCAUUCUGUCUUCGGUUUGGAUUUUCACGGAGAGUUCUGCUGCGUGUGAAGUCAGAAGGAUCUCGGAGCGGUGCGGUCGCCCGCACGGGCACCCUCCUCACCCCCCCGCACUGCGCUGGCGGAGAUGAGCCUCCCCUUGACCUGCGGCUCAGCCGAUGGAGCGUGCCAUGCGUGGGCAGUAGCUGAAAUGCACUCUGCUGGUUUGCUCCCCCUGUCCCCGCCCUGCCCUCCCCUCCACCCAGGGAACAGCAUGUCCCGUCCUGGACAGCGGCUGCCCCUCCUCCUGGGAUCCCAGAUGAGAAGACAUGCAGCUGAGCCACAGCUUUCCUGAAUGAGACCAAGAAAUAAUGUUUCUCGGGAGUUCCCUGGUGGCUCAGCGGGUUAAGGGUCUGGUGUGGUCACAACAGCAGAUUGGGUUGCUGCUGUGGCACUGUUUCCAUCCCUGGCCUGGGAACUUCCCCAUGCCUCGGGCGUGCCACCCCCUCCCCCUCAAAAAGGAAGAAAUAAUGUUUCUUGCUGCAAACAGUCAGGCUAGUUUUUUGGGGGUUUUUUCUUUUUCUUUUUUCUUUUUUUGGGGCCGCACCCACGGCAUAUGGAAGUUCCCAGGCUAGGGGUCAAAUGGGAGAAACAGCUGGCGCCUACGCCACAGCCACCCCAAUGCGGGAUCCAAGCCCCAUCUGUGACCUACAUGCAGCUCAUGGCAACGCCAGAUCCCGACCUACUGAGUGAGGCCAGGGAUCGAACCUCCAUCCUCAUGGCAUCCUCAUGGAUACUAGUCGGAUUUGUUUCUGCUGCGCUACAACGCGAACUCCCACACCAGUUUAAAUGCAGCAAAACUCUCCC